rnacentral:tRNA from 1 species
GCCUUCGUGGUGUAGUGGUUAGCACACUCGGCGCGUAUUCGAGAAGUCCAGGUUCGAGUCUCGCCAAGGGCA